rnacentral:rRNA from 1 species
GACGAACGCUGGCGGCGUGCUUAACACAUGCAAGUCGAACGGAAAGGCCCAGCUUGCUGGGUGCUCGAGUGGCGAACGGGUGAGUCACACGUGUGUGAUCGGACCCUAACUUCGGGAUAAGCUUGGGAAACUGGGUCUAAUAUCGGAUAGGACAAUCGUUUAGUGUCGGUUGUGGAAAGUUGUUUCGGUUAGGGAUGAGCCUGCGGCCUAUCAGCUUGGUGGAGUGGUAAUGGCCCACCAAGGCGUCGACGGGUGGCCGGCCUGGUAGGGUAGCCUGCCACGUUACGACUGAGCUACGACCCAGACUCCAACGCGACGCAACGGUGGGGAAGAGUACACAGUGGGCGCAGGCCUAGUGCAGCGACGCCGCGUGGGGGAUGACAGCCUUCGGGUUGGAUUGCUCUUUCGACAGAGACGAAGCUUUAAUGACGGUACCUGGAGAAGAAGCACCGGCUAACUACGUG